rnacentral:rRNA from 1 species
UACAGAGGGUGCGAGCGUUGUCCGGAAUCACUGGGCGUAAAGCGUGCGCAGGCGGUUAUGUAAGACAGGUGUGAAAUCCCCGGGCUUAACCUGGGAACUGCAUUUGUGACUGCAUAGCUAGAGUACGGUAGAGGGGGAUGGAAUUCCGCGUGUAGCAGUGAAAUGCGUAGAUAUGCGGAGGAACACCGAUGGCGAAGGCAAUCCCCUGGACCUGUACUGACGCUCAUGCACGAAAGCGUGGGGAACAACAGG